rnacentral:rRNA from 1 species
UCCGUAGGUGAACCUGCGGAGGGCUCGUUACGGUCGGGAUUAAAAUAUGAGGGCCCUUCAAACCGGCUGGAUUAUUUUUAUUCACCCUUGUCUUUUGCGCACUUGUUGUUUCCUGGGCGGGUUCGCUCGCCACCAGGACCACAUCAUAAACCUUUUUUGUUAAUGCAAUCAGCGUCAGUAUAACAAAUGUAAAUCAUUUACAACUUUCAACAACGGAUCUCUUGGUUCUGGCAUCGAUGAAGAACGCAGCGAAAUGCGAUACGUAGUGUGAAUUGCAGAAUUCAGUGAAUCAUCGAAUCUUUGAACGCACAUUGCGCCCUUUGGUAUUCCAAAGGGCAUGCCUGUUCGAGCGUCAUUUGUACCCUCAAGCUUUGCUUGGUGUUGGGCGUUGUUUGUCUUUGGUCCGCCCAAAGACUCGCCUUAAAACAAUUGGCAGCCGGCCUACUGGUUUCGCAGCGCAGCACAUUUUUGCGCUUGCAAUCAGCAAAAGAGGUUGGUCAUCCAUCAAGACUACCAUUUAUACGUUUGACCUCGGAUCAAGGUUGGGAUGCCCGCUUCCCUUUUAAAGCAUAUCAAUAAGCGGAG